ACACAAACGCGAACAAACGUGCUGACCAACACAUCAAUUAAGUUUCACACUGGUAGACUAAUUGACUCCCAAGUAUUCGAACUCGAAAAGCAAAAUAUAUGAAUAAUAUGAAGUCAAAUAUAUAUAUUAACAUAGAUCGUGAUUGCUAAGUUUUCGUUACAUUGGCGUAAUUAUAUGAGCACACCCGACUAGAUCACCUGCGAAUGAGCUCUGCGAUUUCUUUAUGAACAUUGAUCCGUCUAUGGAACGAAGUCUAAUUUUUAAGAGACAAAUUGCUUAUGCGCCUGCUGUGUAUCAGUCUGAAUUGAAGGAGCUUUUGAAAACUGCUAAGCAAGAAAAAAUUACAAAAUGGUUCAAACCAUUGCCUAAUCCUUAAGAUAAUUAAUUAAAAUGUUCAGAAACUUCAAUUAAAUCAUUUUUUUAUA